rnacentral:rRNA from 1 species
GCACAAGCGGUGGAUGAUGUGGUUUAAUUCGAUGCAACGCGAAAACCUUUACCUACCCUUGACAUGUCCGGAAUCCCGAAGAGAUUUGGGAGUGCUCGCAAGAGAGCCGGAACACAGGUGCUGCAUGGCUGUCGUCAGCUCGUGUCGUGAGAUGUUGGGUUAAGUCCCGCAACGAGCGCAACCCUUGUCAUUAGUUGCCAUCAUUUGGUUGGGCACUCUAAUGAGACUGCCGGUGACAAACCGGAGGAAGGUGGGGAUGACGUCAAGUCCUCAUGGCCCUUAUGGGUGGGGCUUCACACGUCAUACAAUGGUCGGUACAGAGGGUUGCCAACCCGCGAGGGGGAGCUAAUCCCACAAAGCCGAUCGUAGUCCGGAUCGCAGUCUGCAACUCGACUGCGUGAAGUUGGAAUCGCUAGUAAUCGUAGAUCAGCAUGCUACGGUGAAUACGUUCCCGGGCCUU